AAUCAGCAGUUACAACGCGUUAUUUAUGGCGAAAAAAGAUACGUAUAUAUUUCAAAAUGCUCACAUUUCGCCUCGCUUCGAGUUUCGGUUGGAAAUAAACGUACGAUGUAUGCAGUCAGCAAAAUAUCUUGUAUAGUUACAAGUCGAGCAACCUUAUGAACUUGCAUUGACAACAAGAUAUUUUUUUACAAGUGUAAACCCGUUAUCAAGUUAGCAACUCAUUACUAUCAACAUUUGAUCCAAUCUUGUUAGUAUGAAGCAUUUUUUCUAUUGUGUGAUAUGAAACGUUGCAUACCUAGGCUCUCAACACCAGUCUAACACCCCAAAAGUAUUGUGAUAAAAUGAAUUACAGCCUUCUUGUGACCUUUAAAUGGACGAAACCUAGCCACUUGCAGGAUGGAAAGGAGGUAGUAAUAUACCCAUGUUUCUUUCUUUCUGUCCUGGAUUACAUCACGGUCAUGGGGCACAAUUAUUCUGAAGAAAUCAAAAGCGAUGACUGGCCAUUUACCUUACUCAUUUAGAAUCAUUUGAUUUUGUCCCUUCACACAGCUGUCAAACUAAUUUUAGUUUCAAACUAAAUCGUUAUUCUUAGGAAGAAAAGCUUAGUAGAAUGCUGAAAACAGUGUAGCAGACUAUGACUUUGCCACUUUAAUUUUGUUUUGCAACACAUUUUAAUGUCUAGGAGCCUCUAAAAAAAGAGGCAACUGAUUUUCUACAUCAAUAAGAGUAAUAGAAUGACUGCUGUUUUAAGUUUGUGAUUAAGAAAAAUAAAUACUUAUUUACAUUUAAUGAAUAAUAUGCUCCACAACAUGUUUGGAUCUCUGUUUCACAGAGGAAAAAUGUAGCUAUAAUCAAGCAGGCAAUGUAGGUCUGUGGUGCUAAACCCAUAAACAGGCUUCUGUAGAGUGCAGCCUUUCAUUCACACAGCACGAGGAGACAGAGGAUGGCGAGCAUCUCAUGCUGACAGCAGGUUAGACCUGGGAAAGAGCCCCAGAUCUCAAUCUGAUGGAAGGGAUACAAGAGUGCAAAGAAAAUACAAUCGGUAUGGAGGGGUUACUCCACCCGAAAGCACUUUCCUCACAUAAGACGUGAACUAGAGCGAGAGAAGGCUGCCAUCAAAAUCCAGCGAGCAGUUCGUGAGUGGCUGUACUACCGCACAGUCACUUCAGCAGGGGAGCCCAACCCACACCUGUGGCGCAUCACCGAGAAGGAUCUGGAGAGGCUUGAGGAGGAGGUUGCACAGUGGCAGGAAGAAUGUGACAGCUCUCAGCUCCCCAGCCCUGACGAGCUGCAGCAAGUUUGUCAGCAGGUGCGACAGAAGCUCGCUCACUUCCAGUCGAGCUUCCUGAAGAACAGAAGCCUCCUUCACUCACUUCAGCACAGGGUGCGCCUCUUGCAGGAGGUGCAGCCUGUCCUAAUUGCGCUGCCUAACCUGGAAGACAGCAGUGAUCUGGAUCUGUCAUUCUUCCGGAGAGUACCCCGACAAGCCGCUGUGUAUGCGAGACUUCGGCACCGGUUCUCAUUUCUAAUGCUGGACCAACCGUGCGAUGAAGAACUUCCCAGCACACCUGUAGACACUGCUGAUGCAGCGCACAGUACUGCUACACCACAGCAGUAAUCACUGUACUGCCACAGUACUGUUAGCAGUUCUGUGGCAUUUGUACAUUUUCAUUUGGUUUAUGCUCACCCAGAGGACACAAUAAUGUUUGCUGCAUGUGGUAAACACCUUUUCUCAAGAUGGGGUCAGGAGAGAGAGAGAGAGAGAGAGAGAGAGAGAGAGAGAGAGAGAGAGAGAGAGAUAUUUUCAACAUGUAUAUCACUAAAAUGAUCCUACAUUCAUCCCUGCUCCAUGUAUAUACUUUCCUUAGUCCACCACAUGCCCACAAUGCUACCAGGCAGCGGAAAAUAUGUAAAUUGACAUAUUUUGUAUAUGUGAUGUGGCAUAAUGUUCUGGGGUAAAUCAUCUUUAAGAAAGAAAAUCUCCACUGCUCAGAAACAUGCUGUAAGAAUAUUAUUUGGUCCUCAACUAUGCUCAUCUUGUAGGUAAUUGUUUAAGGAGUAGAGCAUUCUGGCUACUGCUUCACAGUAUAUUUAUUCUCUAAUGAAGUUUGUUGUAACUAAUCCACAUUGCUGCAACAAGAAUUUUUGAUCACUUACCCUGUGAUAUAAAAUGUCUGACAGUCAUCAAAGUAAAAUUUGAAAACAAACUGAAAACUUUUCUGCUUGACAACUCUUUCUAUUCCAUAGAAAAAUUUCUGUUAUUGCAAUGUAUAAACAGUGAGGGGUAGGAACUACUAACUCACAUCUGUAUAUUAAAAAUAAAUAAAAUAAAACAAAAUAAAAUAAACUUGUAAAUGUUUAGCAUGUAGCCACAUUUACAAAUGAAUUAGUGAUGUGAGUGUAAAAUGACUUGUUUCAUAUCAUUAUGGUUUAUUGUGCAAAAUGAUCCAUGGAAUAUGAAAAUAACUAACCAGGUGGCAUUCAAUCUCAUGAUGGGCAGUAGUCUAAUGCCUUGCCACAUCAGUGCACAUGAAGAUGGUAGACUCUGUCCCUAACAGGACGUAAAGUAAUCUCAAAGGAAUAUGGGAGACACUAAGACACUGCGCACCAUAUAUCCACCAGUUGACAACCAGUAGCAUGCCCAGUUACUGCUACUGUCCAUCCAUUCAGCAUGUUUGUUGUUGUUGGUGCAGCUCUCUAUGCUACUCUAUCCUGUGCAAACCUCUUCAUCUCUGACUAACUACUGCAACCUACAUCCUUCUGAAUCUGCUUACUGUAUUCGUCUCCUAGUUUCCCUCUAUGACUUUACCCCCCCCCCCCCCCC